rnacentral:lncRNA from 1 species
AGUAAGUCUCUAAAUAGGAUCCCAUCUAGAAAACCCGGCAACUUGGGGAGGAAAAAUAUAAAAAAAUAACCCAAUCAAGGUUCACAAUCUUGGUACCUGACCAUCUUGGUACAAUGUUGGUAUGCUCGGUAUCAUGGUUGGUUCGGUAUACCAAUACUCGGACCCCUCUUGUACCACGUGCUAGUUUGGCAAUGAUAUAGUAUGCCUGGUAUGCACCGAUAUGGCGGACCAUGAUUAUCCAAUGCACUGAAUUGUGGAAAGAGCAUGGACUCUUGUUUUUCCCAUUGCACAUGCUGAAUACCAUUAUCUAAAAUUUUAAGGUCUAUUUGGUUGGCAGUCAUUCUAUCCAUGCAAGAUCCUCAACCAUUUGAUGUUGUUGAGAACAGAUGCUGUAGUGCAAGACUAUAAGAGAAAUAGAGGAUUCUGAGUGCUAGAGGUAGUCAAGACCCUGUUAAGCGAUAAUAGAUUCCAUCAAUAAGGUGAUCUUUUCUUAUCCAUAAAAAAUAUGGUGGGACAAUAAAUUGCGUGGCAUCUUUCAAGCCCUGAUAUUUCUUAACUCGCUUGUUUCCUUUCUCAGAACUAUCCUUUAUAAGAUCAUUUUGCUGGAUAAUACAACUUGAUGUCCAAAGAGACCUCAAUGAAUAAAUUUAGCAAAUAAUUGUCUAGACGGAAAAAAGGCAUCUAACAGGGGUACAGUAUCGGCAAGAAGAUGGACAAAUUAGGAGCUCCGAAUCAAAAUAAUCCUGAAUCCAGUAGAUCUAUUCCAGAUGGGAACUUCUAAAAGAGAAGGUCCUGAAUCCAAU